AUAAUAAUUAGUCUUUUAAUUAGAGGCUGGUAUGAAGGAUUGAACGAGAUAAAUUCUGUCUCAUUAAAAUUUUUAUUUGAAUUUAAUUUUUAAGUUAAAAAGCUUAAAUUUUAUUAGAGGACGAGAAGACCCUAUAGAACUUUAUAAUCGUUUGUUUCGAUUUUUUAAAAUUUUAUUAGUGUCGAUAUAAUUGAUUAUUUUAUUGGGGCGAUAAGAAAAUUUAUUAAACUUUUAUAAAUUAAAUACAUUAAUAAAUGAAUUUUUGAUCCUAUAUUAUAGAUUAUUAGAUUAAGUUACCUUAGGGAUAACAGCGUUAUUUUUUUUAAAAGUUCAUAUUUAAAAAAAAGAUUGC
rnacentral:rRNA from 1 species